CGUCCGAUUGGGCGAGCACGGCGCGCUGGUCGUCGCUGCGGUCGGCGUCGUCGGUGAAAUUAGCGCCGACCCAGCGUUCGGUCAGCAGCGCGGGCGG
rnacentral:tRNA from 1 species